UACGAAGGGGGCUAGCGUUGUUCGGAAUUACUGGGCGUAAAGGGCGCGUAGGCGGUGUGUCAAGUCAGGCGUGAAAGCCCCGGGCUCAACCUGGGAACAGCGCUUGAGACUGGCACGCUCGAGUUCGGGAGAGGAUGGUGGAAUUCCCAGUGUAGAGGUGAAAUUCGUAGAUAUUGGGAAGAACACCGAUGGCGGAAGGGCAGCCAUCUGGACCGACACUGACGCUGAGGCGCGGAAAGCGUGGGGAGCAAACAGG
rnacentral:rRNA from 1 species